rnacentral:lncRNA from 1 species
CUAAAGUUUCCAGGAUGAGAGGCAAACCUUAUGCAACUGGUUCACUCUGAGUGACGGGUCUUCUCCAACUGAUUUUAAUAACUUCUCCUCUAGUACUCCCCUAAGCCACCAAACAUGUUGAUUGAUUUGUUUUAAAACUGAAAUCUCCAUAUGCCAAGAAUCCCUUUAAGUUCAUGGCAAACCAGAGGCUCACAUGAAAGCAAGGAUGCAGGAGUGGUGAUGGAUUAUCUUAUCACAAAGGGGAGGUAGCAGCCUUCUCUCCAGCUUACUCC